rnacentral:rRNA from 1 species
GAUGAACGCUGGCGGCGUGCUUAACACAUGCAAGUCGAACGGAAAGGCCAGUGCUUGCACUGGUACUCGAGUGGCGAACGGGUGAGUAACACGUGGGUGAUCUGCCCUGUACUUCGGGAUAAGCUUGGGAAACUGGGUCUAAUUCCGGAUAGGACAACUUUUUGGAUAUUGUUGUGGAAAGCUUUUGCGGUAUGGGAUGAGCUCGCGGCCUAUCAGCUUGUUGGUGGGGUAAUGGCCUACCAAGGCGUCGACGGGUAGCCGGCCUGAGAGGGUGUACGGCCACAUUGGGACUGAGAUACGGCCCAGACUCCUACGGGAGGCAGCAGUGGGGAAUAUUGCACAAUGGGCGCAAGCCUGAUGCAGCGACGCCGCGUGGGGGAUGAAGGCCUUCGGGUUGUAAACUCCUUUCGCUAGGGACGAAGCGUAAGUGACGGUACCUGGAGAAGAAGCACCGGCUAACUACGUG